rnacentral:rRNA from 1 species
GCUUUCCUCUGCCCGAAUGCUUAACACAUGCAAGUCUACUUGAACUUCGGUUUGGGUGGCGGACGGGUGAGUAACGCGUAAAGAACUUGCCUCACAGUUAGGGACAACAUUUGGAAACGAAUGCUAAUACCUGAUAUUAUGAUUUUAGGGCAUCCUAGGAUUAUGAAAGCUAUAUGUGCUGUGAGAGAGCUUUGCGUCCCAUUAGCUAGUUGGAGAGGUAACGGCUCACCAAGGCGAUGAUGGGUAGCCGGCCUGAGAGGGUGAACGGCCACAAGGGGACUGAGACACGGCCCUUACUCCUACGGGAGGCAGCAGUGGGGAAUAUUGGACAAUGGACCAAAAGUCUGAUCCAGCAAUUCUGUGUGCACGAUGACGUUUUUCGGAAUGUAAAGUGCUUUCAGUUGGGAAGAAAAAAAUGACGGUACCAACAGAAGAAGUGACGGCUAAAUACGUG